CGUCGUGUGCACGGCCAGGCCCGACGGCAGAGGCGGCCGUGAGCGGGCCAUGGCUGGUACAGCUGGUGGCCGGGAGAGGGGUGGGCCGUCUUUUUCAGGUGAUCUGCUGAGUUCAGGCCUUGUCCUGAUAGCAGCUGCUGUUGUGUAGGAGUGAGUGCCUUUGAAGUAAAACCAGCGGCUGUACCAAGUUCCCCACGGUCCGUGGCCUCUCCCGUUGUUCUGCUGGUGUGUGCUGGGUUUCUUUCAGCCAGGAAGUAGGAGAAGAGGACUUCAAGGUUAGUGCUGUUUCAUGCAACAACAAUGAGCUGGUCAUCAUCAAAUCUGACAGUGAUCAACAUCCCUAAAUACACCAAGCAGGCCUGCUCCAUGGUGUGCCUGACCUCUGCAGCUGGGGCAUGAGAUUCUUGGUUCAUUUCCAGAUACAGACCUGCUUUUCUGCUGUGGUUGCUGUUCAUCCUGCCUUACAGAAGAGCAAUUCAUUGGGAGCCAAGCUGUAGGUAAGUGGUCUGAAACACACUGUGAAAAAACUUCCAGGUGAAGGAGUUAUGUUUGAUGGCCAGUGGUUCUGAGAUAUCUAAUCAUAAAUCAGCAACUGCACCAGUAAAACACCUAACUGUUGAUGUAAAAUCUUAAGAAUACUGGGAAUUGCAAAUUUCCUGCCAUAAGAAAAUCACAGAACUUCAAAGUAUGACAUGAAGUUCUGUGUCUGUUAUGUGGUGAGGAAUAUGGUCAGAAAAGACAAGAACUUACUUUAAAUGCAACAUCAAGUUGAAUAAAGCUUACCAAAGAAAAGAAUAUUCAAGUUAAGGUACAGCAAAUAUGGGAAGGUAAAACAUAAAAUAAUUACUACUUCUGUUUUCAUUCUGUAACCAGACUUCUGUCAGGUUUUGCCAGCUAUGAAGCAGAAAUGAUAAAGUUAGAAGCCACAGUUAAUCUGUGGAUUAAAUCCAGUGGAAGUGACUGUGAUUGAGCAUAGUCACUUCCACUUAGUUUAAUCCACAGAAUCAUUACUUUGAGCUCGGUUUAAUUAGUUUCAGUGUUGGUUUUGGUCUUUUGUUAUUUGCCCAUUUAUUAUUUCUGUUUCUUCACUUCUCCGUGCUUUUUGCAAUGUGUGAAUAUUACGUGUUGUCACUUCUGCUAAGCUUCUUUUCAUUCAAAAGCACAGAAAACACCAGCAUGUCAUCAGGAAGUGCUCAGAUGAGUGAAUUGAUCCAGUAGCUUAUUCAGUAAAAGUUGCAUAACAUUCAUUCAUGUUCAUGCUUGCAAGUCAGCAGUGACUCACAGGUGAAAACACCACUGCAAAAUACUGCAAAAAAUGCUGGAUAUUUUUGCAAUAUGCCUUCUGAGGCAGAUAUUAUAAUGUCAGAUGAGUAAUAUGUUAAGCCUACUGGGGUAGUCAAUGCUCAAAAAUCAGAAUUUAUAUUUGCAGAAUCAUCACAAAAAGGAUGUUUGGGUACAGUUGAUUAAUAAUGCUUGCUAUUGGGUAGUUGGUAUGUUUGUGUGAGACUGCAAACUGAAUUUGGAAUUGGGAGUUCUGUCAGUUUUUCUUCUGCCUCUCAGCCGAGCCACUGCAAAGAACAAAAGAAAGUCUUUCAGACAGCGUUAUGAGGUGAUGAAAUUCUGUGUAUUUCUGGGUGGCUGUGCAUCCCAGUGGAGCCUAUGAGUUAUCCUAAAUCUCCAGCAUUUGUCAUUCAAUCUGAUCAUCCCACAUUUGAGGAAGAGAAUGGGCCAUCUUUCUGCAAAGUCAGAUUUACCAAAUAGCUUCUUGGUGCAGAUGGCUAUGUACAGUAAAGGUGAGCUCUAAAACUGCUUCCUCUCAUUGCUUAAAUGACUGGUGAGAUUGUUACUGUAGUUUUUGUAAAUCUUCAGAAUCCUUAGAAUACAAUCCUGGAUUUUACAUGACUGAAAUCAAAGGUAACUGGAUUGUAACACUUCAGACUUAGCAUCAGCUAUUAAAGCAAAUAUAUUGGAAUUAUAGAAAAUCUGGAUCUCAUUAGACUACAGAGGAACCAGUGCAGUCACCACAUCAUUUUUGCUAAAGGAAAAACAUAAAAAUCCAGAGCCAAAUUUCUGGAGUCUCCUUUGCAUCAUCCUGCUUUCACUUAGUUAGUUGGCUACUGUAGGUUUUUUGUUAUGGAAGCCAGGCUCACUCAAUUCCAUGUCUGUUUUCUACUUAACACAUUUUCAUCUUGUUGUGUGAGUUAAAGUGAUAAAAACAAGUAAUGUUGUAGAUGUCCUUUGAAAAGAGGUAAGUGGCUAGAGGAUAGGUCCCUAUCUGUGAUGGGAAGCUGCAGCCUUUGGGGUAUAGGUUAUCCCAUGCUGAUUAGCAUAGGAAAUAGUUUUUCUUAAAUUUGUCUGCCUGCAGAACUAUUUGCUUAUUCUUGAGCUGCCUGUGGUUUUAUCACAAACAUGGUUUGCUGUUCAGCACUGUUCACACGUUGUCCUGGGGAAUUCUAGCUAUGCAGGUGGUUUGCAGACAGGUGACUGAAAAUUUGCCUUUUGUCUUAUUGGUUAGUUUUCCAAUUCAUGCAGUAGUUCCAUUUUCUGAAUAUAACUGCCAUAGGAGACUAGAGUCUCUCACUGGUUUUGCUUUCAAACCAGAACAGAGUGGUAAUAAGAGAUGGGGGAGAAGAAUACAAAUACUUUAUACCAUUAAUUCAGUGUUACAGAGUCAGAGCCAUGCACCUGGACAUCUGAUUCAAUUACAGACUUGAAACUGAGAAUGUGAGACCUAUUUAUCUUGUCUUGUAUCCCUCACUAGGUACUUGCUACUUACUGCUACCUGCUCUGGGGACAGGAGGAAAAAGGACAGAUCAUACAUCCAUUACAUACUGCAAUACUCAAACAAUAAUCUCCCAAAUCCUUCACUUUGAGUGCCAUUUUCUGCUCCUUAUCUCUGAGCUCUGCUCUGUUACAGGUACUCUCAGGUCUUCAUUUACUUUUUUACUCCUUCCCUUGCUGAAGUGCACUCCUGCUGGCUUGUCUGCACUCAUCUGACUGCCAGUCACAUCUGCUCCUGGUGAAGCAGGAGCUCCUUGUCACAGAUGACAAGAGCACAACUCCUCAUGACCAAGUGGCCUGAAAUGCAUUGCACAAAGCUGCUGUACUGACUGGCAGCCCCUCUCAUAAUGUCUUAUCCUCCUCUCCUGACUAGAUGUGCCACUUGUCAGAACCUGCUAAGAAUUGCCUGCUCUCACUUGCAGCACAAGGAACAAAAUGCAUCACAACCCAUAGGUACAAAGUUGAUCAGAAAUCACAGUUCUUGUUUUUGUUUCUCUUUUGUCUAUGAAUCCUACAAAGAAUGUGAAAAAAUUAGAAUCAUUCCCUGUAACCCUCUGUUAAUCUAGAAUAUAAGCUAUUUCCGAAAAUAGCUGACAAUUUGAGGGUUUAAUCUCAGUGGAAAUCCCAAGAUAUUAUGUCAAAAGGGAAGGUAAAUAAUUACUUUGUUUUUUAAAUUUUUACCCUCUAUACAAAAAAGAAAGGCAGGCCAAAUUAUGUAGCCCUUGUGCUCCCAGCCUUCCUAAAGGGCAAUGAAUGGAGGACCACAGACUCAAAGACUCUGCAUUCACAUAUGUCUUACUACAGAAGCAAGGACUCAAAAGGCUGUCAGUUUCUAGCAAACAUAUUCAAAACCAGCACAAGACUACCCAAUAAUCCACAUAAUACAGAAAUGCAGCAAGAUAGCAAGUUUUGUCCCACACCACUCACUUCUUUAUUCAUUUCAACAUUUUAAUGUUGGUUUCCUAAAAUACUUCUGGGGAUUGUCAUGGCAACCAGAACAACAAAUGAUUCCUCUUCUGCUGCCCUGAGAAAUUAUCCUUUUCCCCUCACUGAUGGCUACCAGCUAAAUUAAGUAAUGGGCAGAAGGCUGAUAAAAAUCCAAGACAUUUGUUCCACCUUUCCAAGCCCUUGACUCACCUCCUCCUCUCACUGCAGGUAAGCCAAGCACCAGAUGCUCUCCCUUUUCUCUUAGCCAAGAGCCCUGCUCUGAAAGGAGCAAGCCUUAUUCCACUCCAGCACUUACACAACCAACCUUCUUCACUUGUCUCCUUGGAAAACUAAACCUCUUCUUCCUAUGUUCCACACCCAAGUCUUUAGGAGACAAAUGUUUUCCACUGCCUUCUCUCCUGUCUGUCUGUCAGCCUCACUUAGCACCUGCUGAAUGGGGACACACCUGAGUCUCCUGCCUUUUUUAGUGGCAAGAUCUGUAGCAGAUGGGACUUUCCCCCAGACAACAACUACUACCAGCACUGCACUGCUCACAACAUCAGAAGUCCCAGGCUUCCUGGAAGACAAGACCCCUUGAAGAACUUUUCUGAAGAGCCUGAAAUCUCUGUUAUCAGAGAAUUAAACAGGGGCGCUGGCUCGAGCGCAGCUUCAAGGAAAAAAGCCAGACCUGAGAGGUAAAAAGGCCUCCCUGGUGGCAGGCAGAAGACUUGGAAAGCAGAAUCCCAAUCAAGGUUUCUCACCUGGGCAAUCCCCUAGCCCAAAGAAAAUCUGUUGUUUAGAGAUGAGCUGUAGAGUCAAGACUCUCUUUGUGCAGCUACUUUGAAAUACACAGGCAUCUUCUUCGCUUCUGUGGGUUCUGUGAGCUCCAGCUAGACGGUACAGGCAGGACUCCAGAGAUGCUGUGGCUUCUGCUGCAGGUGUUCAACAGCAGGAAGAUAAGAGGGGGUUUAAGAAGUGCUACUCACAGAUUGCACCAAACAAGCUAAGGCUGGUGUAAUUACAGAGGAUCACCCUCACCAAUUGGAUAAUUUUUGUGCACUGAGUGGUGGAAGUGUGCAAGUUCGUUGCAUGCAUGGUGCUCACAUCUCAUCUGUGGAUGAGCUGUGGGCAAUGAGAAUUGUUCCCUCCUAGUAAAGGCUGAACUGGUGCUGUUUUUGGGAGUAGAGGGGCACUAUGUUCUGUGUGUCUUCCAUUCCAGACACUAUAAUACAGUGGUGGAUUUAGUGAAUCUGACCCUUGAAAGCCUGGGGGCAAUUGCAUGUCCAGAGACUUUUGUUUGGCCAGAAGGUGCUUGGGAUUAAAAUUGUUCUAGGAUUUGGAAUGUGAUCCUUCUCUGCAAUCUGAAAUAUAGAAGCACAAGUGAAAGAAGACCUGUUCAACCCAUGCCAUGUUUUCUUUUUUACUGCCAAGAACUAGAUGUGCUGCUGAAUCUCAGGUUUCCCAUCCCACUCUAUGGUUUGAAGGUAAGCACAUCUUAACCUCUGAAGAGCUUGCAUAACACUCAGGUAGAAAGGAAUUUCUGGGAGUCUCCCUUGUUACAUUUGCUGUUUAUUUCUAGUUGGGAGUAUCAAGCAGAAAUGUUCUGAGGCCAUGUUGCACAUUUGCCCCAUUUGCCCCAGUACAUGUCACCACGUGUGGUUCACUGAUCCUUCAUCUACAUAUGGCACAUGUGUUCCUUUCCAGAUGCCUCACACCUGUGUUCUCUUUCCAAGGAGGAUAAUUCUCAAGAUUAUUCAGCAUAUCAAAGUGAUAAGACAAGCUCAUCUCAACCCCUGAAAAAGAGCUAGGGCAAAGAGAUUUUGUUGAUUUCUGGCCCUCUCCAUUCCCCUCAAGUCAAGCCAUUUAUCCUCCAGCAUAACAUCUUAAUAGUAAAGGAUGCUAACUAGUAUGAGACUUGAUGGUUUCCUCUGAGAGAAGGUUUCAAAAUUCCAUUAUCUUAGUCAGAAUUUUCUAAAUAGAUUCUAGCUGCUGUCCAUUUUGGGUCAUGUAGAGGGAUAGAAUAUAAGAAAAUAAAGAUAGUGUAGAAAGUAAUCUUACCCCUAAGGAAUUGCAGCUGGGCCAAUUAUCAAAGCUUAGCAACACGCCUGCCUUUAACAGGCCACAGCUGAAGCAAUGAGAAGAAGAUGCUAUAAAAGAGUGGGGUGGCUGCUUGAGAAGGGAACUGGAGUCAGCUGGGUCCUUUGUGAAGGGGAAAGAGUCAGGGCUCUGAGGAGCUGUCCACGAGAAACACCAAGAAGGUUUGGAACUUUUGUGAUAAGGAGACAACAGUAUGGAACCCUGCAAUAAGAUGCAACAGGGCCACAUGUUUGUGUCUACCAGGCUUGUGAAUACAAAUGUUAGAAUAAGCAGUUAUUUCUGCUUGACUCUAAGAUCAUACCCAUAAGUACUUGUAAAUACACCUAGUAGAAAGCUUUUGAGAGACAGUGUAUUUUUAGACAAUGUAUUUGCUAGUAGCCAGAGUUUUUGGAGGAGUGGAAAGUAAUGAGGUGGAAGUGGUUACCAGACUUUUGAACUGCAGACUAUACAGAUAUAAGAAAGUUAUUUCAGUAUCAGUUAUAUCCUGAGGUGACUUUCAGUCUUUUAUUUCAGUAGUCAGGGAUCAGUGCUGUGGGAGGCAGACACUAGACGCAGUAACACUUGUUUUUCUGUUCUUGUGGUUGCUCUUUAGGGUUAGGCAAUGCUUAUUUCCUGGCAUAAUUGCUCAACAACUUUCCUUUCAGAACUGUCAACACAUGCUAAUAGGUGUUUGAGGAACUGCUGCGAUAGUAUGUACUGGUUACACUGUUGGUUUCUUAAGUUCAGUGACUUGUAUGUUGUAGGUUAACCUCAAGAAUGUCACUGUAAAAUGUAUACAAACUCAGCUGUGUAGUUUAGUCUUGCUGUUUAAGCAUGCACUGUACUUAGUACUCGGAACAGUCUGCUGCACUGUUGCAUUAAAGGUAAAGAUUUGUGAAUUAAUAACUUUCAUAGUUUCAAACCCAGUGAGGCUUCUUCCAGCCUUGCUUUUCCUUAAAACACAAGGCUGGGGGGUGACUGGAUGAGGUAGCAUGUUAUGUCCCUGCAGAACAAAAGCAUAUCUUGUUCGAAUACUUUCAUGUAAAAGCUAUCAGACUUGCUUGCAUAAAGGCAGACUUGAAGCCAGUCUCUGUCUUUCAAGGGCCACCAGACUCUGCACUCCACAUAAACAGUGAAAUGUUUGUGUCUGUCACUGUCUCCUACUACACUAGUGGUUUUUCAUUCACUUCAUGAUCAAAUCCAAGUUUUCUCUCUCUGCAUGAAGUGCUGCCUCAGUAAGCAGCACUGGCAAAACCCACACUGACUUAAAUGAGGCAAAAAUUUUCAAGUUUUGUGGUUUUUUUUCAAAGCCCUCAUAUGCUUGUUGCAGCCUGUAUCAAAGACCUCUUCCUGUAUCUUUGCCUCCUGGAUUCCUCAUCUAUUUUUAAAUCUUAUGUUCUUUCCUGCAUCUGUUUUAACUCUGUUACUGUACUAUUUAACGCCUGUGGGAUAUGGAGCUUGUGGGAAAGAAAUGGCAUAUUACAAAAAAAUUACAUUGGUUAAUCUACAUACUCCUCCCAGGGUUUCAUGGCACAGGACAUGCAGAAACCCUGAUUAGGUACUAUGCAUUUGUUAGUCAGCAGCUGUAAUAUGAGCUGAUGAAGAAAUACUUAGUAAGGGUGUCAUACUGUGUCUGUCUGAUCUCUCUGCCUGGAUUAAUGCCUAAGCAAAAUAUGUAGUUUAAUGCCUAUGAUUCAGGGUUUACCCACAACUCUGAAAUGUUUUCCUAAUAGGACAUGCAGUAGUUUGGACUUGUUAUGGGAAUUCUUUUCCCUCAGGAGUAUCAGUCUGUGCAGUCCCUAUGCUGUGAAAAGUAAAUAAUGUUCAAGCCUUGGAUCUAUUAAAUGUAUUUUGUACUACAGAUCCCCCAGGGAUUCCCAUGAACUUGUGUUAUCUAAACUGCUUGAACUUGUGUUACCUUCUGUUUCUCCUUGAUUCACUUUGUCCCAAGUCCCAAAGAAGGCUGGAGAAGUAUUUAAUAAGAUUAAUUCAGACUUUGGAGAAACAAGACUGGAAACAAAAAGUUGCAUUUAAAGCAAUUAAAUUCUAUUUUAAAUUUAGCAACUAGAUAGCUCUCUAGUGGCUUAACCUCUGCUAUGCAUAGAUGACAUGCAUAAGAUGACAUAUCUCAUCUUUGGGAGCUGGAAAUAAGAAUUCAUGGCAAAAAAGUCUUCCAAGUGUUUAUGAGAGCUCCAAGGGACAUUUAACUUUUCUUUAGGAUUUUGGGGCACAAGUAUGAAUUAUGUUGAUGUGGGGUUUCCUGUAUUGCAAACAGUGAUUCCUUCCUAGCCAUUGCCUAUUUAGCCUGGCAGUGCAUUAACACAGCCAGAGGUUUCUGUAUAAGUUGUUCUGCCCAGCUGCUUCCAUGGGGGUGUGUUCCAGUGCCAGGGGGUAGCUGCUGGAGAUUGUUGUCCCCAUCCUUACUGCAGGCUCUAUCACUAAUGCUUUGGUGCAGUUCAGGAAAGUGCAGCCAACCCUCCUGCACUGGGUGACAACCAUUCCAAUUCUAGUUUUAGAUAUUCAAUUUCCAUUAUAAAUUACUUUAAUAUUGGAAGACUAACAGGCUGCUUUGGUCCAAACCUGCACAAGUUAAAUUUUCAACAACUCUUGCAUUCAGCAACACCUUACAGUGUCUCAGGGGUUGUUUUCAGAACGGUCAAAAUUAUUUCCUUCUUAAGGAACAUUUUAAAAAGCAUAUAAGUUUGUUCAUAGACGUAUCUUGUCUGUUACGUUACUUGAAUCUAGGAAAUGUGCCACUGAGAUAAUAAAGCCCCAGUGAAGUUCAUAUGUGCCAUGUUUGCUUUUCUGAGUAAAGCCAGUAAGAUGCCAGAUCUCCCGUGUGGCCUUUGGCAAGCCUUUAAUCUCAAGUAUAUCAAAACUUUCCAGUCCUUUUGGACUUUUUAUUUUGGAUGCUGAGUUGGAGGCUGCUAAAUCAAGUACAAAACUUUCUGGACUUCCAGCUGGACCUGAGGCGGUCUGCAAAGCCAGUGCUUAGCUUAUCCAAAACUGCACAGUCUGAAACUAAAGAACAGUCUGGCAAAUGCUGGGUUUUUCAGCCCGACCUCCACAGCCUCACUUACAACAGCAGGGUCGCACCACCACUUCUAAUCCUGCUACCAUAGGAUCCUAGGCCAUAACGAGAGCUGAGCUCUGUUCGGCAGAGAGACUUCUGAGCUUGAUAUUACUGCAAUACAGGCUGCUGCUUAUAGAUGCCAAAAAGCUGAAGAACAAAGAAUAUUAUGCACAUUCCUUAAUACUAUAUGGAAUUAAAUUCUCUGCUAUAUUUUAGUUCAAUGUCAGCCAUUUCCUAUCAAUUUAACAGACUCCAAAUAGCUCAUGCAGCUCAUUUAUUUAAAUAUAUGAUAUUUAAGUAUGUGAUAUACACAUCUUUUUUUUCCUCACUAAAUUGUCUCAACACCAUUCCUGUUGACCUCCCAUUCAAAGUUUUCUUCCAUGGUUCCUAUUAACUUUAGUAUUGUCUGUAUGUUGAAAAAUAUUUAUUUUCUUCUAGAAAUACUGAAUGCUUUUUGCCAGUCAUAACACCUCCUCUCUAUCCUGUUAUUUUUUGUUUUCCUUCUCUUUUAAAGAUUUUUCACCUCUUUUUCUGUUACCAUUGCAUGUUCAUACCCAUGUGACUAAAGUUUAGUAAUGAAAAUACCAUGUUACCCCCAAGUAGGAAGGUUAGUUUAUCUCUGUAUUUGUUUGGAACAAGUAGAUUCUUUUGGUUUUUUACUUGAUUGAGACUUCCUUUCUCAGCAGUAUGUCUGUUUGCUGUUGGGUUCACCAUGAAUAUGUAAUUUAACUGCAUAUAAAUCUCCACUCUGGGAACUGUGGUGCAUUAUUUUCAGCAUGCUGGAGAUUAAACUUUGGUGAUGCCUCUGAAAAGUAUGUAUGUAAUUUCAAAACCAAAAGAAUCACAUUAGUUGAAUUAGAUGUUCCUCGUGCAAUAUCUCAAUGAAAACAAGAGUAAUUCAGUGGCUGGAAAAAAUAACAGCAUAACCUUUAUGGCAAAUGUUUACAUGCUUUGCACAAUACUGUGUUCUGUGUUUUGAUGAAGCAUUGUUCAUAACUUGGCAAAGACCUCUUGAAGACUGUUGGCCAGAACAAGCUGUUUUUUACAAGAAAAACAACAUUUUUGAAAACUUCCACAAUAAACGUCUAUAAAUCCAGACAGACCCAACUAUAAUUCUCUUCUUGUUUGUAGAGGCUUAACUAAAUUAGCUCCUGUACAUCCACCAUCCCAGCCCUGUGGGAUUUCACUUCACAUUGGUGCAAAGGUGCAGAUUCAUUAAAAAUGGUAACAGAGCAUUCCAGCUCAUGUGUACAUGGCUGUAUGGCAUAGAAAACUGGAAAAUCAAAGGUAUUAGUUCCAGGUGUGGUUGACUAAAUUUACCGUACCUUGCCAGAAAAUCACAUGCACUAAAUAAACUUACCAAAAUAUAUUGUCUGCCAUAAGGGUAUUCUGGCAAGUGGGUGUAGGGAGUAGAACAUCAUGUUUGCCUCUAAUUCUGAAGUGUGUUUUAACACUUGGUGAACGAAGAGUUUGGUUUGUAGAAAAAUCAUUGUAUUGGUAAAUCUCCUGUGAUUGUGCCACCAUGCAGUGUAGCUGGUCAGCUAAACACUUAAA